rnacentral:rRNA from 1 species
GACGAACGCUGGCGGCGUGCCUAAUACAUGCAAGUCGAACGAAGCUUUUUUAACUGGUGCUUGCACCGACUUAAACAACUGAGUGGCGAACGGGUGAGUAACACGUGGGUAACCUGCCCCAGAGCGGGGGAUAACAUUUGGAAACAGAUGCUAAUACCGCAUAACCACAGAAACCACAUGGUUUCUGUGUCAAAGAUGGUUUCGGCUAUCACUUUGGGAUGGACCCGCGGCGUAUUAGCUAGUUGGUAAGGUAAUGGCUUACCAAGGCAAUGAUACGGAGCCGAACUGAGAGGUUGAUCGGCCACAUUGGAACUGGGACACGGCCCAAACUCCUACGGGAGGCAGCAGUAGGGAAUCUUCCACAAUGGACGAAAGUCUGAUGGAGCAACGCCGCGUGAGUGAAGAAGGUUUUCGGAUCGUAAAACUCUGUUGUCAGAGAAGAACGUGUGCGAGAGUAACUGUUCGUGCAGUGACGGUAUCUGGCCAGAAAGCCACGGCUAACUACGUGCCAGCAGCCGCGGUAA